rnacentral:rRNA from 1 species
UACUUUGGAUUUCUUCGGAAUGACGAGGUUUGUGACUGAGCGGCGGACGGGUGAGUAACGCGUGGGCAACCUGCCUCAUACAGGGGGAUAACAGUUGGAAACGACUGCUAAUACCGCAUAAGCGCACAGUACCGCAUGGUACGGUGUGAAAAACUCCGGUGGUAUGAGAUGGACCCGCGUCUGAUUAGGUAGUUGGCGGGGUAACGGCCCACCAAAGCGACGAUCGGUAGCCGGACUGAGAGGUUGAACGGCCACAUUGGGACUGAGACACGGCCCAGACUCC